rnacentral:rRNA from 1 species
UACAGAGGGUGCGAGCGUUAAUCGGAUUUACUGGGCGUAAAGGGCGUGUAGGCGGGAUGAUGAGUCAGACGUGAAAUACCUGGGCUUAACCUAGGGAUGUCGUUUGAUACUGUUAUUCUUGAGUGGAGUAGAGGGUAGUGGAAUUUCCGGUGUAGCGGUGAAAUGCGUAGAUAUCGGAAGGAACACCAGUGGCGAAGGCGGCUACCUGGACUCACACUGACGCUGAGGCGCGAGAGCGUGGGGAGCGAACAGG